GCUUUUCAGAUAGUAUUUAACAAAAUCAUGACAAAACAUGAACACGAGACACAAAAUCACGAAUAACGGAAAUAUGGAGAAGAAAUGAACCUGAAAUUUAUUCAAACUUGAAAUGAAUCAACAAUUACAGUCGGACAUCACUGCGGCAUCAGACAUAAUCGACACGAAAUUCAUUUGUGUGGAAAUAAGAAAAUUAAUGCGGACAGGACUCAAGUGGCAUCUCAACUCGAUUUCAAAACUCAAACCAUCUCCAUGUUUCAGAUCAAAAUCGGAACUCAAAGAAAGAAUAAUAAACUAAUUUCUGUCCAAAGCUUCUGUUGUUCAUUUGCAAAAGGAAUCAUUUGCUUCUUUAUUUCGUCCUCAGUUAUUAAGAGGAAUCUGCACUGCUCAAUCUCCAAGUGUGUAUUUGGUGAGGACGGUGACUGGUUGAUUUUGUUGAUGGCGUUGUUUGGCUCCUAUGUCUCUUGUGUCUGGUGUUAUGGUGUUCAGUGACUACUGAGGAAGGAGAAGAGACGUGAGGAUUUUCGUUUUAUGGUGUUCAGCAUUGUUGUGUUCUCUCAUGACUACUGAUUUAUUUUUGAAUAUUACAUGAAGCGGAGCUCCCUCUCCAUAUCCAGGCGUACGUUCGAGCUUCAUAAAGAAGAAGCAGUGGCCAAGGUGGACUGCUAGGGUUAGACGGAGAAGAUGAUCAAGAAGGGAGGGGGGUUUUCCAAAAACUGCGCAGCUGCGCUGAAGGACUUUCCGGCGUGAAUUCCUCCGUCUCUAUUAUCUCGUGUGCAUUGUAUUGUAUAGGCGUGUAUCUUCAAGAGAAGCCCCCAGCCGCCAUCCCUUCUUCGUGUCUCUCUACGUACUUCUCUGUAGUGUAU
rnacentral:lncRNA from 1 species